GAUGAACGCUGGCGGCGUGCCUAAUACAUGCAAGUCGAGCGAACAGACGAGUAGCUUGCUCCUCUGACGUUAGCGGCGGACGGGUGAGUAACACGUGGAGAACCUACCUAUAAGACUGGGAUAACUUCGGGAAACCGGAGCUAAUACCGGAUAAUAUAUUGAACCGCGUGGUUCAAUAGUGAAAGACGGUUUUGCUGUCACUUAUAGAUGGAUCCGCGCCGCAUUAGCUAGUUGGUAAGGUAACGGCUUACCAAGGCGACGAUGCGUGGCCGACCGGAGAGGGUGAUCGGCCACACUGGAACUGAGACACGGUCCAGACUCCUACGGGAGGCAGCAGUAGGGAAUCUUCCGAAAUGGGCGAAAGCCUGCCGGAGCAACGCCGCGUGAGUGAUGAAGGUCUUCGGAUCGUAAAACUCUGUUAUUAGGGAAGAACAAAUGCGUAAGUAACUAUGCACGUCUUGACGGUACCUAAUCAGAAAGCCACGGCUAACUACGUG
rnacentral:rRNA from 1 species